CUGUCCCGCCUGUCCCGUCUGUCCCGCCCGUCCCGCCGGCAGCGCGGAGCCAGGGGCGAGCAGCGCCCGCGGCUGAGCCAGUUGCAAGAUGGGUGAAUGACACUAAAAAUCGUUGACACUUUCAUACGGCAACUCCACAGAUCUCUAACCAGGGGCCGCGUACAAUCCACCGAAAAAACCGACAGUACAGUUAUUUAAGAGAUCAAUGUAAACAGCAACAAAUCAACAUUCCUGCCAUUUCUCCGAAGAGGAAUCAAAACUACCCACUGCAGCUAGGGGAAUUUGCAAUUGAACAGAUGCAAACGACUUCAUAGCCCUGAGGAAAAUGGAAUUCAUUCACCAAUGUGUAGCUUGAGCUAAGCUAAUCCGAGUUGCAUAUCCAGUUCUCGAAGAGCUCUGAGUAGCAAUCAAUCUUCCUGCAUUCACCAAGUGAUUUGUUAAUCUGCAGUUUUCAUAACAUAAUAAAGAACAUAUGGAUUAACCAGCUAUUGUUCAUAACAGCCUGAUGAGCUUCUUAGAGUCUCUUGGUUACUUACUGAGUAUAACAGUAUCCAGUGCAGUGAAACAAACUGGGCAGUAUGGAUUACAUCAUGUCCUACCAUCUGGAAAGCAUUACAAUAUAAUCACUAAUACUGUGAAGCCUCCUGAAUCCGUUCUUCAUUUAUAACGCGACUGUUUGAGUUCCAGAAAGAGCAUCUGAAGAGUGAUCUGUAAAAUAUGUUACUGAAAUCCUAAGUAGGAUAU